rnacentral:rRNA from 1 species
CUACGAAGGGGGCUAGCGUUGCUCGGAAUCACUGGGCGUAAAGGGUGCGUAGGCGGGUUUUAAGUCAGGGGUGAAAUCCUGGAGCUCAACUCCAGAACUGCCUUUGAUACUGAGAAUCUUGAGUUCGGGAGAGGUGAGUGGAACUGCGAGUGUAGAGGUGAAAUUCGUAGAUAUUCGCAAGAACACCAGUGGCGAAGGCGGCUCACUGGCCCGAUACUGACGCUGAGGCACGAAAGCGUGGGAGCAA